UACGUAGGUGGCAAGCGUUAUCCGGAUUUAUUGGGCGUAAAGAGAACGCAGGCGGUCUUUUAAGUCUGAUGUGAAAGCCUUCGGCUUAACCGGAGUAGUGCAUUGGAAACUGGGAGACUUGAGUGCAGAAGAGGAGAGCGGAACUCCAUGUGUAGCGGUGAAAUGCGUAGAUAUAUGGAAGAACACCAGUGGCGAAAGCGGCUCUCUGGUCUGUAACUGACGCUGAGGUUCGAAAGCGUGGGUAGCAAACAGG
rnacentral:rRNA from 1 species